rnacentral:rRNA from 1 species
GUGCCAGCCGCCGCGGUAAUACGGAGGAUGCAAGCGUUAUCCGGAUUUAUUGGGUUUGAAGGGUGCGUAGGCGGGGCAAUAAGUCAGAGGUGAAAUCUCCCGGCUUAACCGGGAAACUGUCUUUGAUACUGUUGUCCUUGAGUAUAAUUGAGGUGGGCGGAAUGUGUAAUGUAGCGGUGAAAUGCAUAGAUAUUACACGGAACACCGAUUGCGAAGGCAGCUCACUAAAUUAAAACUGACGCUGAGGCACGAAAGCGUGGGUAGCGAACAGGAUUAGAUACCCUGGUAGUCCACGCCGUAAACGAUGAAUACUCGAUGUGUGCGACACAUUGUACGCGUCUGAGCGAAAGCAUUAAGUAUUCCACCUGGGGAGUACGGCCGCAAGGCUGAAACUCAAAUGAAUUGACGGGG